CUACGGGCUGCACCAGUCGGGAAUAUUGGACAAUGGGGGAAACCCUGAUCCAGCCAUGCCGCGUGUGUGAAGAAGGCCCUAGGGUUGUAAAGCACUUUUAGUAGUGAGGAAGGCUCAGUAGUUAAUACCUACUGGGAUUGGCGUUAGCUACAGAAAAAGCACCGGCUAAUUUCGUGCCAGCAGCCGCGGUAAUACGAAAGGUGCAAGCGUUAAUCGGAAUUACUGGGCGUAAAGCGCGCGUAGGCGGCUUGGUAAGUUGGAUGUGAAAGCCCCGGGCUCAACCUGGGAACUGCAUCCAAAACUGCCUAGCUAGAGUAUGGUAGAGGAUGGCGGAAUUUCCUGUGUAGCGGUGAAAUGCGUAGAUAUAGGAAGGAACAUCAGUGGCGAAGGCGGCCAUCUGGACCAAUACUGACGCUGAGGUGCGAAAGCGUGGGGAGCAAACAGGAUUAGAUACCCUAGUAGUC
rnacentral:rRNA from 1 species